rnacentral:rRNA from 1 species
UUGUUAUGUAAUAUGUUUUACCGUAGGAAUAAAAGUUGAAAUUAAAAUAGGUUGGCGGCGUGCUGUCUGAAUAGAGGAAUCUGAACAAGAGUCGACAGCCCGCGAAUAGCUUAUCUAGUCUGAGUGUUUGUAUAUCUCCGUUGUAAGAAGAUUUUAGAAAAAUAUUUUCUUAAGUUUUGUAGAAAAAUAUUAUGACAGGUCAAGGUGCAGCUUAUGAUUAGGUUGAUUUGGAUUACAAUUUUUGAUAGAAUUACGGAUUUGAGUUUGGAAUAAUUUAAGGAAGGUGGAUUUGUUAGUAAUAGGAUUUUUGUGCGGUUUUGUGAAUAAGGAAUAGUAUGUGU